GACGAACGCUGGCGGCGUGCUUAACACAUGCAAGUCGAACGGAAAGGCCCUGCUUUUGUGGGGUGCUCGAGUGGCGAACGGGUGAGUAACACGUGAGUAACCUGCCCUUGACUUUGGGAUAACUUCAGGAAACUGGGGCUAAUACCGGAUAGGAGUUCCUGCUGCAUGGUGGGGGUUGGAAAGUUUCGGCGGUUGGGGUUGGACUCGCGGCUUAUCAGCUUGUUGGUGGGGUAGUGGCUUACCAAGGCUUUGACGGGUAGCCGGCCUGAGAGGGUGACCGGCCACAUUGGGACUGAGAUACGGCCCAGACUCCUACGGGAGGCAGCAGUGGGGAAUAUUGCACAAUGGGCGGAAGCCUGAUGCAGCAACGCCGCGUGCGGGAUGACGGCCUUCGGGUUGUAAACCGCUUUCGCCUGUGACGAAGCGUGAGUGACGGUAAUGGGUAAAGAAGCACCGGCUAACUACGUG
rnacentral:rRNA from 1 species